GGGGACUUAGCUCAGUGGUAGAGUGCUUGCCUAGCAAGCGCAAGGCCCUGGGUUCAGUUCCCA
rnacentral:tRNA from 1 species